UUGUCAGAUUUGACAGAUGUCGAAAAAGUUAUAUAAGGGUUAGGGACGAAUUAUUUUUGAAAUUUGUCCACACCAGCGUUAUUAAAUGUGAAUUUCAUUAGAAAAUUAUUAGAAAAUGUAUAAUACUUUCUGGAAUGUUGUGUUUUCGACAGAGGUUUUCUCAGACGAAUAAUUUAUUUAUAAUAUGCAGUUUGUUGUUAGCAGCAGGUUUUAUGCUACAAAUGAAAGCUUUGUACAACAACCAUCAGAAACAGUUAAGAUUGCAGGAAUAUAAACAAAGGAUAAACGAUGUGACUGAAACAAUAAAUUCAGUUGAGAAACUAGCAAAUUAUACGUCGUCCCUAAUGAAAAAACUACAAAUGGUUAUCAAACCCCACAAAUUUAACAGGGCCCGGUUAAAGUUAAUUUGACACAAAGUAUUUUAUAACCAACUAAAUUUUAUAUUAACAAAUUAGCACAGAGUAUUCAAUAAUGCUUUAAUAUAAAAUUUUCUAAUGAAACAUAGCUUUAUAUUUGUUAAUGUUUUUACACUAAAGUAAUUUAGGAGACGAAUUGGUUUCAGCACGGGAUGUUUGAUUUGAAAAAACCAUGUGGCAAGUUAAUUUUCUACAUUAAUUUGCCUUCAAGAGGGGUCCAAAGGUCCUUAAGAUAAUUAGGUUUUAUUCAAUAGUGAAUGUAUGAAAAAUGUACAAAAUAAUGUGCCAUUUGGUUUACUAGUGGAAGUACUUAAUUAUAUUAUAUACAGCACAAGAUGUAUCUUUUAUAUGUAAAUAGUUUGCAGAGUUUUAUAUUUUGUUG